UUUUCCUACGGGAGGCAGCAGUGGGGAAUAUUGGACAAUGGGGGGAACCCUGAUCCAGCGACGCCGCGUGAGUGAAGAAGUAUUUCGGUAUGUAAAGCUCUAUCAGCAGGGAAGAAAGAAAUGACGGUACCUGACUAAGAAGCCCCGGCUAACUACGUGCCAGCAGUCGCGGUAAUACGUAGGGGGCAAGCGUUAUCCGGAUUUACUGGGUGUAAAGGGAGCGUAGACGGCAAUGCAAGUCUGGAGUGAAAGGUGGGGGCCCAACCCCCGGACUGCUCUGGAAACUGUAUAGCUGGAGUGCAGGA
rnacentral:rRNA from 1 species